GACGAACGCUGGCGGCGUGCCUAAUACAUGCAAGUCGAACGCUUCUUUCCUCCCGAGUGCUUGCACUCAAUUGGAAAGAGGAGUGGCGGACGGGUGAGUAACACGUGGGUAACCUACCCAUCAGAGGGGGAUAACACUUGGGAACAGGUGCUAAUACCGCAUAACAGUUUAUGCCGCAUGGCAUAAGAGUGAAAGGCGCUUUCGGGUGUCGCUGAUGGAUGGACCCGCGGUGCAUUAGCUAGUUGGUGAGGUAACGGCUCACCAAGGCCACGAUGCAUAGCCGACCUGAGAGGGUGAUCGGCCACACUGGGACUGAGACACGGCCCAGACUCCUACGGGAGGCAGCAGUAGGGAAUCUUCGGCAAUGGACGAAAGUCUGACCGAGCAACGCCGCGUGAGUGAAGAAGGUUUUCGGAUCGUAAAACUCUGUUGUUAGAGAAGAACAAGGACGUUAGUAACUGAACGUCCCCUGACGGUAUCUAACCAGAAAGCCACGGCUAACUACGUG
rnacentral:rRNA from 1 species